CCUUAUGUCUUGGGCUUCACGCAUGCUACAAUGGCCGGUACAAAGGGCUGCAGUACCGUAAGGUGGAGCGAAUCCCAAAAAGCCGGUCCCAGUUCGGAUUGAGGUCUGCAACUCGACCUCAUGAAGUCGGAGUCGCUAGUAAUCGCAGAUCAGCAACGCUGCGGUGAAUACGUUCCCGGGUCUUGUACACACCGCCCGUCAAGUCAUGAAAGUCGGUAACACCUGAAGCCGGUGGCCCAACCCUUGUGGAGGGAGCCGUC
rnacentral:rRNA from 1 species